rnacentral:lncRNA from 1 species
GAGUGUCUCACCUGCAUCUCUGGCCUUCCAGGUUGUUGGAUAUGGGAAGUAUGAACUGGAAGAGGACGGCGCUCCCGUUUGUGAGGAUCCGAAUUCUCGUGAAGGGAUGCAGCUAAUCUACCUGCCACCCUCUCCUCUCCUGGCAGAGUCCACCACCCCCAUUACUGACAUCAGGGCCUUCACAGCGACGCUCAGCCUCUUCCCCUACCAUAAGAUAGUCAAAUAAACUGCAGUCUCACUGGCCUGAAGCAACUUGUAUUAAAG